rnacentral:rRNA from 1 species
UACGUAGGGUGCGAGCGUUGUCCGGAAUUAUUGGGCGUAAAGAGCUCGUAGGCGGUUUGUCGCGUCGGCCGUGAAAACUUGGGGCUUAACCCCCAAGCCUGCGGUCGAUACGGGCAGACUUGAGUUCGGCAGGGGAGACUGGAAUUCCUGGUGUAGCGGUGAAAUGCGCAGAUAUCAGGAGGAACACCGGUGGCGAAGGCGGGUCUCUGGGCCGAUACUGACGCUGAGGAGCGAAAGCGUGGGGAGCGAACAGG